AGCUGCGUCUUGCCGGGGUGUUCGGCAGGGGGCGGCGAAAAAGGAAUGGACCUACUCGAAAGAACUGUGCGCGAGAGGGCCGCUCCGAAGCGCGAAAGCGCCGGGCCGAAAGGCAGCCAUUGCGGGAAACCGUGAGAAGGUAGGAGCAGCACGCGGGCGGAAAGCCGCCCAGAUCGCAAGUCAGGAGAAUUGCUGUCUUCGGUUGGAACUG
rnacentral:ncRNA from 1 species